rnacentral:rRNA from 1 species
GUGCAGCAGUCGAGAAAACUUCACACUGUGCGAAAGCACGAUGAGGGAAUCCCAAGUGCUUGCACGUAAGUGUAAGCUGUUUCUCUGUCUAAAACGCAGAGAGAGUAAGGGCUGGGUAAGACGGGUGCCAGCCGCCGCGGUAAUACCUGCAGCUCAAGUGGUGACCGUUAUUAUUGGGCCUAAAACGUCCGUAGCCGGUUUAAUAAAUGCCUGGGUAAAUCGGACCGCUUAACGGUUCGAAUUCCGGGUAGACUGUUAAACUUGAGACCGGGAGAAGUUAGAGGUACUCCUGGGAUAGAGGUGAAAUUCUGUAAUCCUAGGGGGACCACCAGUGGCGAAGGCGUCUAACUAGAACGGGUCUGACGGUGAGGGACGAAGCCCU